AUUGAACGCUGGCGGCAGGCCUAACACAUGCAAGUCGAGCGGAUGAAGGGAGCUUGCUCCUGGAUUCAGCGGCGGACGGGUGAGUAAUGCCUAGGAAUCUGCCUGGUAGUGGGGGAUAACGUCCGGAAACGGGCGCUAAUACCGCAUACGUCCUGAGGUAGAAAGUGGGGGUUCUUCGGACCUCACGCUAUCAGAUGAGCCUAGGUCGGAUUAGCUAGUUGGUGGGGUAAAGGCCUACCAAGGCGACGAUCCGUAACUGGUCUGAGAGGAUGAUCAGUCACACUGGAACUGAGACACGGUCCAGACUCCUACGGGAGGCAGCAGUGGGGAAUAUUGGACAAUGGGCGAAAGCCUGAUCCAGCCAUGCCGCGUGUGUGAAGAAGGUCUUCGGAUUGUAAAGCACUUUAAGUUGGGAGGAAGGGAAGUAAGUUAAUACCUUGAUGUUUUGACGUUACCAACAGAAUAAGCACCGGCUAACUUCGUG
rnacentral:rRNA from 1 species